AGUGAAUUUAGGACUAGAACAGCUGGGAAGUUGUAUUGUAGGGCUGGUUUACAUUGAUUUGAAAGCUAUAAGGCGUGAGAAUUUACUUCAGCUAUUAGGUUUUAAAAACAGGUACACCAGGGGAGAAAAACAAACAAGAAAGGUCAGGAUUUGAGCUUUUUCAAAUGCAAAUUUAUCAAUGUGGCCAUUACUCAUGAACAGAGUUUGCAGGCAGAUUUUAAAGAAAUUGAUGUUCCUUGAUGUGGGUACAAAUGGGAAGG
rnacentral:misc_RNA from 1 species